AACGCUGGGAAGAGUUCUUGGAUUGCACACGCCGAACAAUUACGAACAAAAAACCAAAGAUUAGGAUAGACCAUGAGGAUAAGGAGAUCAAUGCGAGCAUGCCACAUCAACCAGAAGAAGAAGAGCAAGACUAAGACCAAAUGUGAUAAAUUGUGCAAAAGAUACAACCAGACUCAUAUACAGAGAUAAUUAUUAUUCAUCAAAAGAAUAGUAAUAUAUGUAUAAAAGCAUAGUCGUAAAAAAACAAAUAACAUCAUUCAUAG